AAAUUGAAUUCCGAGCAAGAAUGAGAAAGUUUUACCUUUUUUGAUGGUCUGCGGUGGCUCCAGUGCGGUGGCGGCCGAUGGUCGGUCUCCUUAUCCGGUGGCUGAUUCUUCUUCUCUAGCGAGGGCAGGUGCAGCUAGGGUUAGGAUUCUCUGAGACGCGAUGUUUAAAUACCUAUCUUACAUCGAUCUUGGUCGUCCGUUCAUGUCGACGUAG
rnacentral:lncRNA from 1 species